CUGUGAGGAUGCCAAGUAUAUAAAUGUGGGAAGUAAUACUCAAAUAAGGCAGCUGCUAUUUGAUGACACAUCGAGGAGAGGUCGAAUUGAGAUGAAUUUUGAGUCAAAGCCGUUGUCGAAGUUAUUUAAGGUCCUUAAUACUGAGAAAAUAUUUGAAGAAGGGAAGAAGGCUCCUCUCAAGUAUCGUACAAUUCAUUUACAUAAGAUUUGUGAAGUAUUUGCUAGAAACAUCCCCAGCAAUCAGAUUUAUUGGAUCGAUAAUGCAUGUA